rnacentral:misc_RNA from 1 species
UUUCCGUAGGUGAACCUGCGGAAGGAUCAUCAAUGAAUCCAAUUCAUCAUAUACACCCUUGUGAACUGUGCCGGAUAGUGCAUAUGUGUGUGGUAGUUGUGUGCUGUGUGCAUGCGUGCUAUUUUAUAUAUAUAUACACUAUUUGGCGACCACAAAUUUGUGAGCGUGUUGGCGGGAACAGUGUGCUGUGGUGUAUCCACCACCGUGUGCUGCCCGCCGACCGUUCACUGUUGAAACAACAAACGCUUAUAAAAAUCAUUGCUAAUAAAAAUUUAUAUAUUAAAAUUAACAAUACAACUUUCAACAAUGGAUCUCUUGGCUCUC